rnacentral:rRNA from 1 species
AGUGAACGCUGGCGGUAGGCCUAACACAUGCAAGUCGAACGGCAGCACAGUAAGAGCUUGCUCUUACGGGUGGCGAGUGGCGGACGGGUGAGGAAUACAUCGGAAUCUACUUUUUCGUGGGGGAUAACGUAGGGAAACUUACGCUAAUACCGCAUACGACCUACGGGUGAAAGCAGGGGAUCUUCGGACCUUACGCGAUUGAAUGAGCCGAUGUCGGAUUAGCUAGUUGGCGGGGUAAAGGCCCACCAAGGCGACGAUCCGUAGCUGGUCUGAGAGGAUGAUCAGCCACACUGGAACUGAGACACGGUCCAGACUCCUACGGGAGGCGGCAGUGGGGAAUAUUGGACAAUGGGCGCAAGCCUGAUCCAGCCAUACCGCGUGGGUGAAGAAGGCCUUCGGGUUGUAAAGCCCUUUUGUUGGGAAAGAAAAGCAGCAGGUUAAUACCCCGCUGUUCUGACGGUACCCAAAGAAUAAGCACCGGCUAACUUCGUG